AGCCCAACAGCUAGCCCACCUAAACAAACUCAACAAACCCCUGUUAAUACCCCCUAAGUACCCCAGUAUUUUAACUUAAACAAACCAUUUUUCCCCCUUAGUAUAGGCG
rnacentral:rRNA from 1 species